UGGGGAAUAUUGCACAAUGGGCGCAAGCCUGAUGCAGCAACGCCGCGUGAAGGAUGAAGGCCUUCGGGUUGUAAACUUCUGUCCUUGGGGAAGAAACAAAUGACAUUACCCUUGGAGGAAGCCCCGGCUAACUACGUGCCAGCAGCCGCGGUAAUACGUAGGGGGCGAGCGUUAUCCGGAAUUAUUGGGCGUAAAGAGUGCGUAGGUGGCACCUUAAGCGCAGGGUUUAAGGCAAUGGCUCAACCAUUGUUCGCCUUGCGAACUGGGGUGCUUGAGUGCAGGAGGGGAAAGUGGAAUUCCUAGUGUAGCGGUGAAAUGCGUAGAUAUUAGGAGGAACACCAGUGGCGAAGGCGACUUUCUGGACUGUUACUGACACUGAGGCACGAAAGCGUGGGGAGCAAACAGG
rnacentral:rRNA from 1 species